UACGGAGGGGACUAGCGUUGUUCGGAAUUACUGGGCGUAAAGCGCACGUAGGCGGAUUUGUAAGUCAGGGGUGAAAUCCCGGGGCUCAACCUCGGAACUGCCUUUGAUACUGCAAAUCUCGAGUCCGGAAGAGGUGAGUGGAAUUCCCAGUGUAGAGGUGAAAUUCGUAGAUAUCGGGAGGAACACCGGUGGCGAAGGCGGCGAUCUGGGUAGAUACUGACGCUGAGGUGCGAAAGCGUGGGGAGCAAACAGG
rnacentral:rRNA from 1 species